GACGAACGCUGGCGGCGUGCUUAACACAUGCAAGUCGAACGGUAAGGCCCUUCGGGGUACACGAGUGGCGAACGGGUGAGUAACACGUGGGUGAUCUGCCCUGCACUUCGGGAUAAGCCUGGGAAACUGGGUCUAAUACCGGAUAGGACCAUGGACUUCACGGUUUGUGGUGGAAAGCUUUUGCGGUGUGGGAUGGGCCCGCGGCCUAUCAGCUUGUUGGUGGGGUAAUGGCCUACCAAGGCGACGACGGGUAGCCGGCCUGAGAGGGUGUCCGGCCACACUGGGACUGAGAUACGGCCCAGACUCCUACGGGAGGCAGCAGUGGGGAAUAUUGCACAAUGGGCGCAAGCCUGAUGCAGCGACGCCGCGUGAGGGAUGACGGCCUUCGGGUUGGUAAACCUCUUUCAAUAGGGACGAAGCGCAAGUGACGGUACCGUAUAGAAGAAGCACCGGCCAAACUACGUAGCCAGCAGCCGC
rnacentral:rRNA from 1 species